CUGGCGACGUAUUAUUAGCCCCUCCAUGAUAAGCCAUCCUUUGGCAUAUGUCGCAUGACACCCCCGACAAUGACUUUGUCUUAUUCCACACAAUGAAGUCUUCCAGUAAAUUACCAUUAAGUGGGAUCAUUAGUAUUCUCUCAACAUCAAUGGGCCUAAAAACAUCCCUGAUUAGAUACUCAUCCCACCUUCCCAUCAUAGGGUUUAUGAGUUCAUCAACUGUUUUGAGAAUGAUUUGACCUCUUGGGGUGAGAACCUUUCUUGUAGGACUGUUGGGGAUCCAAUCCUCCCAGAUGUUGAUUUUUGUACCAGAUCCUACCCUCCAUACAUGCCCCCUUUUAGAAACCUGCAAACCAUCAACAAUGCUCUACCAAGUGAAAGAGGAACCCUUUUUUGGGCCUGUUUUCAGUAAGUUCCCAUCUGAAAAGUAUUUUGUGCGUAGAACACACACCCAUAAAGAAUCUGGAUUACUAAUCAAGCGCCAACUUUGCUUAGCUAGCAUGGCUAGGUUAAAAGCAUGCAGGUCUCGAAAGCCCAUGCCUCCCAACUUCUUUGGGACGCAUAAUCUCCACCAUGCUGCCCAAGGCAUGCACUUUUGCUCUUCAGUAUCACUCCACCAGUAUCCGGCCAACACAUUGUUCAUCUCCAUAGCUUCUUCAGGUGUUUGUUUGAUAGUCUGUCUGUAAGUUUGAUAUAUAUGGUUACCUCCACCAUGGAGGCGGUGAGGAUGCCACCAGAAUUAUGAGGUAUGAUGAAACAAAAUUUUCCUACACGACUCUAACAAAGAUUCUAGCACCGGAAAAUCAUUUAGGAAAGAUUUCAGCCAAGUUUCCCAAAUAUUUGCACAUAAAUAAUAUGUUGCAACAAGAAAUCUGAGAUAUACAAACAUACCAUGUGAGACAUUCAAGCAUUAAGAUUAUCAAGUUUUUUUUUUGAGAUUAUCAAGUUUUGUUUUUGAGAAAAAAGGCCAAUGCUUUUUUUCAGGCAUUUUUUUUCUGGGCCAGUGCUUAUAGUUCCUAAUAAUAACCAAUGUUCAAACAAAUUCGGCCCAAAAGGCCACUGGACAAUCCCAUGCCCAAGCUCACCAAAGCCCACACCGGGUCUGUAUAAUCCCAAACCCUAUAAUACGCAGCAAUCCAGCAACUGACCCCGCCCCCGCCCCUCGCUGCGCCGCCACUUCUCCUCCGGCCGCAACCGCCGUGGCCUCCACGACGAGCUCGUCUAGUGAUGAGGUAUUGAUGCAUGAUGCAACACUUGAUCCAAGGGUGGCUAAACUGUCCAUAUGAUGUCAUCUUUGCAUCUGAAUCCACCAGUGAUAAUUUUGCUGCUGUUGAUUUGGUCAGUAUCAAUGGAUUCCUGUGAAUGAGAAGGCAUUUAUAUUCUGAUGAUAGAGCUUGUUUUCCAAAUUAGAUCCAGAAUGCAAUUGAAUCCUAUGAUGAUUAGCUUUUAUGUUGGAAUUACCGUCAGAUUCCAAAUGACGAUAUAUUUGCGGCUUUCUGAGGUUUAAUACUGCUUGGGUCUUUUACUUCUCAUAUUGUAAGCAACAGCUGCUUCUUCUCUGCAAGUGUCCUCAUAACUGUUGUUAAUUGGUCUGGCUGGAAUCCCCAUUUAAACGCCGUUUGGUUCAGCUGGUGUUUCUGGUUUCUUUCUCUUUAAUCUUUGAUUACUCUGUUUUUUCCUGCAAGUACCUAAUUGUCUGUAUGUAAAUGGGACUGUUGCCAUGUCUCUGUUAGCUAUGAACAUUUGCCAUGCCUUCUGUGUUCCUGUGAUAGUCAAUUUUAUUCAAUCAACCGGGGAAAUGGUAUGGCAGUGAUGACAAAUUUAAGGCUGCUUGUUUCUUCGCUGCUUGUUUGAUUGUAUUGGCUUGUUUCUCAAACAUUCGCAGUUGCUGCCUGGGUUUUGGCCCUGCCAGGUUUUAUUCUCUGAAGCUGAAAUCAUCCAUUCUUAAUCCUUUUAUGUGCUUCAUUUAGAUGUUGAUUUUUUUUGAAGUCUUAAUAUGUGAUUUGAAGGUCUUUAGUGAUUGAAAAGCAAUGGUGGAGCAUGGAAGCCCCCUCAACAAUGUUGAACAAGUGUUCAUUGCUGCCUGAAUGUACGGAAAUGGACAGAGCACGAAUAUGGUGGUUGGUCUACCGCUUGAUAACAGGCAGAUAAUAGUGUACAUGCUUGCUAGAAAACUUUGAUCCGGCAUCCUAGAUAUUACGGCUUUUGCUUUUGUGUUGCAUGGUUGGGUGAUGGUACUCAUGGAAGCAUUGCUAGCUUGCCUAUGCUUGUGCUUUGUAUGCUGUUGCUGUUUUCUGUAGAUGAACUGUGGUGCGUUGCAUGAUGACUGCCUCUGAGGGUUGGUAGAUAUAAUUUUUUAUUAUGAUUGAGGUCCUUUGUAUUUUUUAUGAACAAAAGAAGAAUGUUUGUAUGCUGUUUGGCUCAUCAUAUUGGUCCUGGAUCUGCAA